AUGUAUUUCUAUAUUUCAGGAAAUUCAAAGCUCCUCUCGGAAUUUUGCCACAUUUCUGGCAGGGGUUUGCUGUUACAGAUACUGAUCCUCAGCUCCUGUGACUGUUCUUCCUUUUCUGCAUCAAGUCAGCCCAGACAAGAAACUCAGAUCCUUUCACAAUUUUCAAAGAGGCUGCAUAUAAUAAUUGAAGAAAUGGAUAAUCAAAGAAAUACAAGAAACUUUUGUUUAUCUUUGGUAAAAUGGGAGUAGGAAAAGCAAGGACAACUAACUUUUACUACUAAUUACCAAGACUCAUUUUAAGGCAAGUAAUUUUAACCUCAUUUCCCAUUGAAAUCUGGAACUACUAACCAAUUGAAAAUCUGACUUGGUUUAAUUUCAUUUCCAUUGUUUUUCUUGCACACGCUCUGAAGUAGUGUCUGAAUGAAAAGAGAGUAGUCUGUGAAAGAGAAGUGGAUAAUUGGAAGGAUGACUAAUGAACAAAUGACUCUAUGGGCUCAAAAAGAAAGAUGACUGAGAUUUAAUUGAUCUUCUGUGUUAAUUUGACUGAAUUGUCCCUAAAUAUAUUCUGUUGAUUUAUUUCCCUUGAUAUCUCCAAUGGAUAUAACCAUUUCCAGGCCUUAUCUCUAAGAAGAAAAUGCCAUAUAUUAAUUCUAGAGUUAAAAUUCUGAGAAAUCUGGACCUUUCCAACUGUGGAAUCCAUUUCCAAGCAUUUACUUUCCUUUAAGACUGGUUGUGAUGAUGUGUAUUAUGUAGGAAUUGAGCAGUGACCAUAACUAUUGGAAUGGUCUCCUUUUUACAACAUUGUUAAGAUAUCAGAAAGAAUUCCAGUGGUGUACCAUUGUUAAUAUGUAAAUAUUAUUUUUUAAUGAAAGCAUAUAUUUUGAAUCAAUGCCAUAGUAUGCCACAUCCACUUGUUUCUUGUUUUUUUUUAUAGGCUUCAUGGAAUAUGAGAGCCAAAAUAAUGACUGGGUAUGUUUUAAGGUCUUGAGUAUAAAGUUGAUGAUCCUGACUUUAAAAGUCCUGCAUUUGAAAUAAUUUGUUGCAUUGUUUUGGUUUAAUAUUAGUGCAUAGAAGUGCUAAAUAUAGUCAGAGGAUGUAAUGAGGACGUGUUUACAAACUUGAACAUGAGGAAAUAUUAAUUGACCUUUGAGAGAGCCUCCUCCCAAGCCAGUGAAGGGCUGACUUUUUAAAAAUUCUAUUUGAACUUCUACAGUUUCGCACACAGAGACUUGUCCCUUUUGGAGACCAAUGGGACGCCUAUUCAAGAUGGUCCUCUGAACUCAGGUGCAUUCUGGGACCCAUGAACCCAGAAAAACAAACAGAACUAAGUCAGGGAAUGAGUUACUCAGACUAGCCACAAGAGCACCACAUUUUGCAAAGAAGAGAUUAAUGUGGAUGCAUGUUAGUUUCACUGCAUCUCUGCCUCUUUCUACAUUUCCUAGCUUUCAAUACUGUGAUCACUGCUGUUUGCUACCUACCUCUGAAUCUAUUAAAGUGAUGACACUGAAUGGUAGGCAAAUGUCUAUUAAUUUAUCAUUUCUUUAAUAAAAUAAGAAAACACAAGUUUAGGUCUUGCUGA
rnacentral:lncRNA from 1 species